AUACUUACCUGGCAGGGUUAAUAGCACGAUCAUGCAAGUGGUUUUCCCAGGGCAAGGCGCGCCCAUUGCACUUGGGGAACACUGACCUCUGCGAUUUCUCCACAUAGGAGAAACUCGACUGCGUCAUUUGUGACAGGGUGAGGGACUAUGUGCAUGCUGUUCUCUG